UACGAAGGGAGCUAGCGUUGCUCGGAAUCACUGGGCGUAAAGCGCACGUAGGCGGAUGUGUCAGUCAGGGGUGAAAUCCCGGAGCUCAACUUCGGAACUGCCCUUGAUACAGCACGUCUUGAGUCCGGAAGAGGUGGGUGGAAUUCCUAGUGUAGAGGUGAAAUUCGUAGAUAUUAGGAAGAACACCGGUGGCGAAGGCGGCCCACUGGUCCGGUACUGACGCUGAGGUGCGAAAGCGUGGGGAGCAAACAGG
rnacentral:rRNA from 1 species